rnacentral:rRNA from 1 species
UUUGGGAGCCCGCAAAAAAUUUAUUAUUUGGGGCUCGAAAAUUUUUAUCUGGGUCCUCUAAAAUUAUCAUCGGACGGGUGGUGAACACUUGUACGCCUACCUAUAAAAAUGGGGGGCUUCGGGAAACCGGACCUUUACCGGAUAAAAUAUUGAACCGCAUGGGGAAUAAUGAAAGACGGUUUUGCUGUCACUUAUAGAUGGAUCCGCGCCGCAUUAGCUAGUUGGCAAGGUAACGGCUUACCAAGGCAACGAUGCGUAGCCGACCUGAAAGGGUGAUCGGCCACACUGGAACUGAGACACGGUCCAGACUCCUACGGGAGGCAGCACUAGGGAAUCUUCCGCAAUGGGCGAAAGCCUGACGGAGCAACGCCGCGUGAGUGAUGAAGGUCUUCGGAUCGUAAAACUCUGUUAUUAGGGAAGAACAAAUGUGUAAGUAACUAUGCACGUCUUGACGGUACCUAAUCAAAAAGCCACGGCUAACUACGUGCCAGCAGCCGCGGUAAUACGUAGGUGGCAAGCGUUAUCCGGAAUUAUUGGGCGUAAAGCGCGCGUAGGCGGUUUUUUAAGUCUGAUGUGAAAGCCCACGGCUCAACCGUGGAGGGUCAUUGGAAACUGGAAAACUUGAGUGCAGAAGAGGAAAGUGGAAUUCCAUGUGUAGCGGUGAAAUGCGCAGAGAUAUGGAGGAACACCAGUGGCGAAAGCGACUUUCUGGUCUGUAACUGACGCUGAUGUGCGAAAGCGUGGGGAUCAAACACGAUUACAUACCCUGGUAGUCCACGCCGUAACGAUGAGUGCUCACUGUUCAGGGGUAUCCGCCCCUUACUGCUGCAGCUAACGCUUUAAGCACUCAGCCUGCGGAGUACGAACGCAACGUGUAACUCACAAGAAUAGACAAAGGACCCCCCACCACCGGCGAACACCUAGUUAUUUUCGAAACAACGCGGCAGAAACAUAACUAAGCGUGACGUCGCUAGGACAACACUACAGAUGGAAUUUUUUCUUCACGCGGACAAAAUGACAGUAGUUGAUGGUUGUUUCUCCCCAGACAAAAGAAUAUGUG